rnacentral:lncRNA from 1 species
UCUAGAGAGUGCAAUGACCGUUUUGUCAUCUCGGUAAUGCCAUCUCGGUCCUACCCACAAACCCAAGCACUUGUACUAACGCGUGUACAUGUACUACAAGUUCUAUUUAACAGGCUGCAAAAAACAAAAAAGUUCUAUUUAACAGAGGUGAGAAAAAAAAACUAGACCGUGAAACCGUCCAAACCAAACUAAUUCAUGCGGUUUGAUUCGGUUUUUUAUUUGAACAGUUUAGUUUACAGUUUUCAUAACACGAUUACAGUUUUAAAUUGAACCAAAUCGUAUAUAUUAUUAAUUAUAUAUAUAUAUAUAAAUUAUGUUUAUAUAUAUAUAUUAUUAGAUUAGGUAAUUACUAAAUAAUAUUCCUAAAUUGUUUGUCUAUUUGGAUUUUUUACUAAAAAAUAUUAUUUAUGUUUGUCUAUCGUAUCAUACUUUUGCUGGAAGUUAUUUUUUUGCAUUUAAUUCUUUUAUUAGAUAUUAUGCACUUUAGUACUAUACUUUUAAACCAUGAAAUUAAACUGAACCCAACCACAUUCUAUGGUUUGGUUCAGUUUCAAUAGUUUGGUUUUAAUUUUUUUUGAACUAUUAGAAACGUUUUGCUUUGUGGUUUUCCCAAAAAUUGAAUCAAUCCGAAUGAUCACCCCUAUUAUUUAACACUCAGGCUACAUCGAGGUCGAUUAGGAAAGACCCUGAUAAUGUAUGCAAGAGUUCGCCAGUUCAAGUCUUCUCGUGACUAUUGAAAGUUUAUACAACUAUUAACUUUAAAAUUUUUAGAUCAGUCUCUCUCGGACCCAAAUAGUUAGGUAGGAAUACUGGGUUAUCAUAUAUAUAUAUAUAUAUAUAUUUGUCCGGUUAAUUGGGUUCAAGAGAGACUAAUUUAGGGCCCUAAAAUUAAUGGCGGGUAGAUCUAAAGUGGUCAAAAGUCUAAAAUUUUUACCAACUGAGAUUAGCAUUAAAGGGCGUUCAAACAGAAAUUAGCAAAAAUAAUGUAGAUUAGCUUGAUUGAUUAGAUAAAAAUAAUCUCCUAAUGGAUGUUGGAUUAGAAUAAUUAAGAGGGUUCGAUUUCCAUGCAAAAGUACCUUUGGAAAGGGACAUCAAAAAGCAAAUUCCCUAAAAAUGUUUAAUUUAAUUUCAAUGGUAAAGAUGUAUAUAAAUAGACUUGGGUAGAUCUCACCAUUGGUCCUUGUACUUUGACCAAAGUUUCACUUUGGUUCUUAUAGUUUUUAAUUUGAAUAAUUACACAUUGCAGUUUCAAAAUAUUUCUAAUGUAGUCCCCUUAAUAAAAUACCCAUUAACAAUUUGAACGAAAACCCAGCAUGUGAAGCUCGCAUGACUAUUUUUAGAUACUAAAGUGAAACUUUGAUCAAACAACAACUACUAAUGAGGGUAGAAUUACCCUUUAAAAUUUAUCUUGUGAGUUUUACUUGCUCACUUUUCCAUUCAAAUUUUUAACGAGUAUUGACGGAUGACUUCUUUAGAACAAGAAUGAAACAGUAUGGCCUCUAAUUGUUUCAAUUUGAACUUUUCACUUUAGUUAAACUAGAGGAACCAAUCGUGUGAUUUACCCAAUAGACUUGAAUGGUUGUUGAUUGUUUAUUAUCAAAUAAAUAAAGCCCAUUUUAACAUUAAAAGGAGAGAACAACAAGGUUUGUCUUUCCUCCACUAUCUUUCAUCUUUUCUUUCUAUCUUUUUCGUCCUUUACGGAAGAUAUAUCUUAUUCAACUUGUACGUGAGGAACUUCCAAUACUAUAAACUUCAACUUUCACCAUGUACGUAGAGUUGAUGAUUGAACAAUUCUGUUUUUUUUUUUUUUUUGAUAAAGCAUGAAUUAAUCUAAUGACAAUUUAGGGCAAGAUGGGUCCUCUAUAGAUUUUCACAUAUAAAGAUUUGGAAAGACAAAAUCAAUUUCAUAAGAAACCAUUAGUACUAUAGUAAGUAUAGUUCACAAAUAUUACUCAAAAAUUACAAAUUAUUACAAGAAUUCAAAAUGUUAAACAUAUCUCUUAUUGUAUUGGUUUUUGUAUAUGAACUCAAAUAGGAACCUAAACUUUGUUGAAAAUUUGGAGGCCUAAAGCUGCUUUAGCCUAGAGCGAAACUUGUAUGGCAUGCUUUUUGAUCGGUGCCGACUAUCAAUCUAUAACAUUCCUAAGAUCAUGUUUGAGUUACGAAUUUCUAUAUUGAAAGAAGAAAAAUUAAAAGAAAUCGGUGACCCCAACACAAUUUUCGCAUUUAAAUUACCAAAUAUGCUAUGUUUAUCAUAUUUUUUGAUCAUUUUGACUUCUCAUCUGAUGUGGCAUAAUUUACAAUCGUCGGUGUAAGGGAGCAAAACAUACAAUGACAGAAUCUGGCCUUGCUAGGGCAGGAAGCUUCCGCCGAGCUAUCGCUAUGAAGCAAGCUCGGUGGCCCUCUGCGCCGGAGCUCGGUGUAGACAUUACUGAUCACUGGCACUGUCCGAGCUAAGGUCAUCGUUACCUCCGGGUUGUCGUUAUUUAGUAAGCUCGGAAUAAUAAUUGCUCUAGAGCUCGAACGAGAGGCAACAACCGACAACAAUUCCGAGGGAUGACAGAGGAUAGAAGAUGCCUUACACGUCGAAGUUUCUUCUGACAGCCCCCAUACCCAGACGAAGACGUCAGUGACAUGAUGAUGGGCUACCGACUAUGUCGCAGAGACAUGGUCGAGUCAGUUAUCUACCUACUGACAUGGUCGUUGGUGCGUCAAGGCAUGUGUCGAGCUAGGCUAUAUAACAAGAACAGAUGUUCUUACAAAGGUACGCGUUUUUCGCUAUCAAGAACAUACAUUUUCUCUCUUUACAUACAUGCAUUUUCUCCGGUCAUCUAAUUUUGACUGUCGAAUAGUCAUUUCUCGAAAACAGUUCUGGCGGCCAAUCUCAUUGUUUCUGUGCUGCAGUUAAGGCAUUGCCACGCUAUUGAUUGUUGCCAGCUCUUAUCGCCACCGUGAGACCACCGUAGGUGUUUAUAUUCGAUUUCUCUUUCAUAAUUUCUCAAACCUACUACCCCACAGUUGGAUAUAAUCAAAAUCAUUUGUCAAACUUAUUAAAUCAAUAUUUAUAAAUGUACUGUGUCAAAUGUUAAUAAAAAAUUAUCAAAACAAAUUGCAAACAUAUAAUUAUUGUUUAAAUAGGACCUAAACAUGAUUAACCAAUAAAGUGUGGUCACCGAAUGUCAAAAAAGAAACAAAGAUAGAAAUGGUGGGUGUUGUGUUAGUAGAGGGGAACACAAAGGCUGUUGGAUCACAUGCCCAUCACCUUUCCUUUUUCUUCUCUUCUCUCUUCUCCCUCUCUCUCCUCUUCUCUUCUUUUUGAACUGUGGCUGAUAAACCUUAAAAGAAAGGGGUUUUGCAAUUAAGGGGGUCCCACCCCAUCAAGGCUGCUGCUAAUACUC